rnacentral:rRNA from 1 species
AGUGAACGCUGGCGGUAGGCCUAACACAUGCAAGUCGAACGGCAGCACAGGAGAGCUUGCUCUCUGGGUGGCGAGUGGCGGACGGGUGAGGAAUACAUCGGAAUCUACUCUGUCGUGGGGGAUAACGUAGGGAAACUUACGCUAAUACCGCAUACGACCUACGGGUGAAAGCAGGGGACCAUCGGGCCUUGCGCGAUUGAAUGAGCCGAUGUCGGAUUAGCUAGUUGGCGGGGUAAAGGCCCACCAAGGCGACGAUCCGUAGCUGGUCUGAGAGGCUGAUCAGACAAACUGGAGCUGUGACAAGGUCCGGGAUCCCACGGGAGGCAGAAGUGGGGAAUAUUGGACACUGGGCGCAAGCCUGAUCAAGCCAUACCGCGUGGGUGAUGAAGGCCUUCGGGUUGUACAGCCCUUUUGUUGGGAAAGAAAUCCAGCUGGCUAAUACCCGGUUGGGAUGACGGUACCCAAAGAAUAAGCACCGGCUAACUUCGUGCCAGCCGCCGCAGUAA